AUGGCAUUCAAGACGGGGGAGGUUAACCACCACACGCUCCAUUUCAGGACCCUUCUGGGGCCCAGCAGCACUAAUGUGUCUUCUGCCCUUGGAUAUGAACAUAUGCACAAACACACACACACACAUACAGGCACGCACUUACUGCUCAGGGGGCACUUUAACAUAAUUCAUAAAUAUGGAUCACUUUCUGUCAGUAUUUUUUUUUUGUCUGCCACUUGCCCCCUCAAGGUUUUUUUGUGGUAUGUUUGCAGCUCAUUACCUAAUGAUUUCAUAGCUUUGGUGUCUGAAUCAUGUUUAUGGAUGUGAAUUGAUAUCAUCCUGUGUCCAGGUUUGUGAAUGUCCAUGCUUGUGUAUGUGUGUACAGAUGUGCUUGACUUUUAUUAAUCGUUAUAGAAGCAUAUACUGUAUAUUAUAUAUGUGUGUAUAAUGGAAGAAGUAAUAAAACAUACAUCAAAACUUCUAAAAUAAGGAAUUCAGAAAUGAGGAAUUCAGUUUUGUAAAAUAAUGAUGUUCUUUCAAAUAUGUAGCCUUUUUAUUCGGCUGCAGAAUUAAAUCUAGAAACCAGUUACACAGCUGCAUUAUUUAUUCAAAUUAAGUGUGAAUAAAUGCUAUUGUGGAGAAGUCACUGUGGCUUUUUGGCUUUUUCACUUAUUCCCAUUUGCAUAUUGUAAUAUGAGACCAUGAAUCUGAGACAAAUUGAAAUCCAGAAGAACAGUAAAUUUACUCUCCCUCCAAGCAGGAACUGGGGUUUCCUCUCAUCUUUUUUUUUUUUUUUUUUUCAUGACCAAAGGUUUUGAUUUUAGAAAGCACUGAAAACAGUUCAUUCUUUUUCGUUUUUGGGAGCUGAUGAACAUGUUAAACAUCAGUAUUUGAAUCCUGACUGAUGAUACAAUCUAUAAAUGCUGGGUUAAAUACAACCCAGUGCUGGGUGUAACGUGGACAAACCCAGCAAUUGGGUUGUCAGCAAUGAGCUACUAGAAGAAUGUUUUGUUAUUAGUUUAAGGAUUUGCUAUUGACUGUUCAGAAGUUUUGUGUGUCACACGUGUGUGUGUGCGCGUGUGCGUGUGUGUGUGUGUGUGUGAGAGAGAGGACAGGGUCACACAAUGGAGUCAGCUGUCUUAAAGGGAUCCCCGAGUAUUAAGACAUGUAUAGCUUAAUAUAACAUUAAUGAUGUCUCUUAUUGAAAUAUGUAAUAGAAAAACCAUGAAAGAUCUACAUUAUUUUUAAAAAUCAACAUCGUUUUUACACCAUGGGGGGGGGGCACUAUUAUUAUUUUAUGUGCGCAGUAAAUUCACAGCUUCUGACACUUUUUAAUCGUGGCACAACUCAAGUACAUAAAAUACUGAUAUGAUACCACAUUGUGUGGCUUUGGUUUGUCAUUUUCAUUCGGAGGGCAACAAGAGAAGCAAAAUAAGACGUCACAGAUUUCCAAGCAAUAGGAAGAGUAGAAAAGAAAGGUAAGAUGCAUGUGGAUGAAUAAAACUUCCUAAAGACCUGCUUUUUUGUCCUCACUUCAGCCCUGAUGCCUUAGAGAUUUUAAGUGGACCACAGCUACUGAAACAGCUUACAAACGGCUGAGACAAGACACGCUAUGCCAUCCUGUUAGGUUGAAACACGUCGACGCUACGCUAAUCAUGAUGCUGCGGCCACUGGUGGAGUUUCUCAGCGUGGAUUUCCCUCGAUAUCCGGGCCGUUUAGACUCCUUGUGGGGAAAAAUCGACGGUACGCCAUUUGGCCUAUACUUAUAUCCAUCACCACCUGUAAGCUCUUUCAGUAGCUGUAGUCAUCAUAACAGUAUUUUAUUUUCCAAGUUGUCUAUUUACUGUCUUUACAUUUAUUUUGAAAGAUAAAGCUCAUGAUUAUGGAAAGGGAUGUUACAUUUCUGACAGGUGCUUGCGGUGUUCAGCCAAUCACAACGCACUGGCUCAGCUGGCCAAUCAGAGCAGACUGGGCUUGUCUGAAGGAGGGACUUUGUAGAAAACUAUGCAUUUGAGAGAGGCGGUGCAUAGAGAAUCUACAAUAAUGUACAGUAUUUGAAAAAUAAUGUGUUUUUUGAACAUUAAAGCAUGUCAACAUAUUAUAUUACACCAAAUACACCAAAUUAUGAUCUUUAUAAAAGCAUCAUAUGACCCCUUUAACUUUCUAUUUUUCCUUAGAUUUUAGGCUAGGGUGAAGUGUAGACCUCUAGAAGCUUAAUAAGCUCUUCCCAGAGAUGUUCUGCUACCACAACACCAUUGCUCUAGUAAAUGGCAGCAUGGAUUGAUGUUGCUUGCUCAUAUUUCUCGUGCAUGGGCAUUUC
rnacentral:lncRNA from 1 species